GAAAAAGACGAGUCAUUUAUAUUGGCACUAGUGUCAUUCAAGUUGAGCAAAACUGAGAAGAUUACAUUGAUAAAUGAUUAUGCAUAACUAAAGUUUCAUCUUCCUCCUAUAUUAUCAUGAUAACAACAACAUAAACCAGCGGGCAUGACGUCUUUACUGGUCCCUUCUACACAAAUCACCUCGCGUCCAAGUUGUUCAACUAAUUCUCUGUAGUUUUGAUAUCCACCUUCGGGUCCAAAUUCAACAUAUGUAACUAGCCUUAGCAUGAGAGUUGAGGCACAAAAAAUUGUUCUGAUGUAUGCGUACAAUGAGCACAUUCAGCUGUCUCUGCUUUUAGAUCUUUUUGAUUUCUUAAUAUGAUUUUCAGAUUUCAGCUUUCCCUUGUAGGGUACUAAGUUAUCUGGCUCAAGCAAUUCAGCAGCCCUUUUGUUGCCUAUCCUCUUCUCCGUAAUGCUGUAAGCUUGAGACUCUUCUGCUUUCGUUUCCAACCAUUGAAUAUUUCCUGUGUUAUCUGGAAUUAAUGACCCACACAUAUGUAGUAUCUCUUCAUCAAAAUUCUUAACUGAGAACCGUAGAGUAGUUCCCACUUUGAUCCUGUGUUUCUUGUUUGAUCUGCUAACAAAAACUUCUUUCCCGUGUUUAAUUUUAUACUUGAAAUCUUCUCGAAUGUCCUCAUCUGCUAUGACAGCCGAAGAAAAACCAAGAACAACUAUGUGAAUAGACUGCUGGCCAACUUUAACGACCUCACCUUCUAAUAGCAUUUCUGGCUUUGGAUUAAAAAGUAGCAAUUUUGCUUCAAGUUUCACACCAAAAUAAGGGUGAAUUCCUGGAAGAAUUCUAGCCAAAUUGCUACUGAACUUGGGUUCAUAAGUCAAUACCACACCAUCUAAAGCUUCAUUAAACUUGAAAAGCAGUGAACUGAGUUCGCGAUAAACUGCGGUUUCGACAUUUUUGGCGUUUGAUGGAUGUAAAUACACAAGCAAAUUCGCCCUACACUCUUUCAGAGCCUCCAUUGAUGCCCAAUUUUG
rnacentral:misc_RNA from 1 species